UACGGAGGGUGCAAACGUUGCUCGGAAUCAUUGGGCGUAAAGCGCACGUAGGCGGUCCAGCAAGUCGGGUGUGAAAGCCCUCGGCUUAACCGAGGAAGUGCAUUCGAAACUACUGGACUUGAAUACUGGAGAGGGUUGCGGAAUUCCCGGUGUAGAGGUGAAAUUCGUAGAUAUCGGGAGGAACACCAGUGGCGAAGGCGGCAACCUGGACAGAUAGUUGACGCUGAGGCGCGAAAAGCGUGGGGAGCAACGGGG
rnacentral:rRNA from 1 species